rnacentral:snRNA from 1 species
GUGCUUGCUUUGGCGGCACAUAUACUAAAAUUGGAACGAUACAGAGAAGAUUAGCAUGGCCCCUUCGCAAGGAUGACACGCAAAUUCUGAAGCGUUCCAUAUUUAA